GAUGAAGAACGUAGCGAAACGCGAUAAGUAAUGUGAAUUGCAGAAUUCAGUGAAUCAUCGAAUCUUUGAACGCACAUUGCGCCCGCCAGUAUUCUGGCGAGCAUGCCUGUUCGAGCGUCAUUUCAACCAUCAAGCCCCAGGCUUGUGUUGGAGCCCUGCGGCUGCCGCAGCCUCCCAAAACCAGUGGCGGGCUCGCUAUCACACCGAGUGCAGUAGUUUACUCUUCGCUCAGGGCGUGUGGCGGGUGCUAGCCGUGAAACCCCCAACUUCUCAAGGUUGACCUCGGAUCAGGUAGGAAUACCCGCUGAACUUAAGCAUAUCAAUAAGCGGAGGA
rnacentral:misc_RNA from 1 species